CCUACGGGUGGCAGCAGUGAGGAAUAUUGGUCAAUGGGCGCGAGCCUAAACCAGCCAAGUCGCGUGAGGGAAGACGGCCCUAUGGAUUGUAAACUUCUUUUGUCGGGGAGUAAAAUACGCCACGCGUGGCGUUUUGUGAGUACCCGAUGAAAAAGCAUCGGCUAAGUCCGUGCCAGCAGCCGCGGUAAUACGGAGGAUGCGAGCGUUAUCCGGAUUUAUUGGGUUUAAAGGGUGCGCAGGCGGAAGGUUAAGUCAGCGGUAAAAUUGAGGGGCUCAACCUUUUCGAGCCGUUGAAACUGGUUUUCUUGAGUGAGCGAAAAGUAUGCGGAAUGCGUGGUGUAGCGGUGAAAUGCAUAGAUAUCACGAAGAACUCCGAUUGCGAAGGCAGCAUACCGGCGCUCAACUGACGCUGAUGCACGAAAGUGUGGGUAUCGAACAGGAUUAGAUACCCUAGUAGUC
rnacentral:rRNA from 1 species